AGUACAGACGAGUUUGAUCCUGGCUCAGAAUGAACGCUGGCGGCAGGACCUAAAACAUGCAAGUCGAACGCUGUAGCAAUACAGAGUGGCGCACGGGUGAGUAACAUGUGGGAAUAUGCCUAUUGGUACGGAACAACGUUUGGAAACGAACGCUAAUACCGUAUGGUCCCUUCGGGGUAAAGAUUUAUCGCCAAUAGGAUUAGCCCGCACUAGACUUAGCUAGUUGGUGAGGUAAGAGCUCACCAAGGCGACGAUCUAUAGCUGGUCUGAGAGGACGAUCAGCCACACUGGGACUGAGACACGGCCCAGACUCCUACGGGAGGCAGCAGUUAGGAAUAUUGGACAAUGGGCGCAAGCCUGAUCCAGCCAUGCCGCGUGAGUGAUGAAGGCCUUCGGGUUGUAAAACUCUUUAGCCGAUGAAUAUAAUGACUGUAGUCGGAAAAUAAGCCCCGGCUAACUUCGUG
rnacentral:rRNA from 1 species